UACGAAGGGGGCGAGCGUUGUUCGGAAUUACUGGGCGUAAAGGGCGCGCAGGCGGCUCUGAAAGUCAGAUGUGAAAGCCCCGGGCUUAACCUGGGAAUUGCAUUUGAUACUUUGGAGCUUGAGUGUGGGAGAGGAGAGUGGAAUUCCCAGUGUAGAGGUGAAAUUCGUAGAUAUUGGGAAGAACACCGGUGGCGAAGGCGGCUCUCUGGACCACAACUGACGCUGAGGCGCGAAAGCGUGGGGAGCAAACAGG
rnacentral:rRNA from 1 species